UCGUUUACUACUUCUUUCUAUCCUGGAUAAAAGAUUGCAAAGAGGCCUGGCUUUUUUUUAUUAUUGUCCUUCCCAGUCCGCAGUCCCCACUCUCGAGUCUGGACUCCUCCGCUGCUCUCCACUCAUCAAUCUACUCCUCGCUCGACCUCGGUGUCUCCGUCUUUGCCGCGGUGCCGCCGUGUCGCUGCUACAACGGCCUUCAGUCUAUGGCCUUCUUCGCAGGAAGCUCGAAGGCGCCUGCAUCUGCAAGAUUGAAGUUGCGCCGGCAACAUGAUCAGCAAAGAGAAGUCUGCGAUGCGCUCCCUGUCCCCCACCUCCUGCAAUCCCUCCUGCUUCUCGGGCCAGCGGCCGGAUCCGCAGCCCACGAUACCUUCGCCCGCCGCAUCCGGAAGACAACUCCCAUAUUCCCAAGCCGAUGUGAUUAUCGGCGCAAAAAUCUGGUAGUGAGCUUUGGUGCUGGACAAAGCACCAGUGAGUGUGAGUUGUGCGAUACAGCUAGCGUUGCUUGCGUCCAUUCACUUGCUCUCUGCCUCUUUUGCUCAUUUGCAUCACCAUCCAGUAUGUAUAGGCUCGGUGAUUUUGGUACUCACCUGCAGGCAGGCAUGCAUGCAUCCUACUUGGGUAAUUUUAACCAGUUCUUUGGUGUUCUAAAUGGAAGGAGUAUAAAUAAAGGACACGAGCGGGUGGUUCGCCGCGGCGUCAUCGGCCGUGACGCGCAGGUGGCGGAGGAUCCGGCACGGCGCCACCGCUCACUCGCACACGCCGCCUCCUCUCCUCCUCCGCUAGCUAGCGCCCCUCCCUUCUCCUGAUCCAGGCCGAUGGCCAGUGCCGUCCCUCUUCUUUCUCCCCGGGUUCAAUGGAUCUGGCAAGUCUGUAUUGGGACGGGCGUUCUCGAGGGUGACUCCUGCCGGUGAGAUAGAAGCGUUGAGGAAGGGCAGCAGCAUGGCCGGCGGGGAGCACAGGGGAGGGCGAGGUGGCCGGGUGAAUGUGAAGAAGACGAGCCCAACGCCGUUGAGGGAGAACAUCAGAACAUGAAGCGGGUGGUCGGCCGCAACGCGCGGGUGGCGGAGGAGCCGGUGGAUUAGGGUCGAGCAAUUCUGCAAAUAAAAAAUACAGUAACUCCGUAGUUUUACGAUGAGGUCCACCGCAACGAACUUUAGCCGUCGAUACUUAAUCAAACGGUGCAGGAGGAGUGCCAAGGAGACACGUGGCAGAUUUCUAGAGAGGUGAAGCUUGAUUUCCAGAGUGCCACGUGGCCAAAUCAAGCGCCAGGUUUCGGACCCUGCAAUCGAUAUAUAAUAUUUGCCGGAGCCGCAACAGCGAGGCCAUGAGGCCCAUGACGCGACUGGAAAUACUCCAGGACAGCUCGCCGGCUGCUGCUCUGCAGUGCUAUAUACUCUCAGGCUGUGUUUGGAUAAUGGAAAAUAGGGGGUGGGAUUGGGAUUGGGAAAUGAAUGAAGGGUUAGGAUUAAAUGAAAGAGGGAGAAUGAAUGGUUAGGAUUUAAAGAUGUCUUUUUGUGGGUGGGAAAUUAUUUCCAUUUCCCAUUAGCCAAACAUUGUCUCAAUCUGUUCAAA